ACAAACCUAUGAUGAUGGUUAGUUCUCCCUGUCUGAAAAUCUCAACUGAGGGGAAAAAGUUAAUUCUGAGGUUUUA